AGCUGAUCAGAGAACCCCCUAAAAAUAUGCAAAAACCAGUAACAGACCUCCUUGUGUCUGGGCAAGAGGCCCAGUCACUGUCACAGUAGGCAGAUAGGGCUAAAUCAGGAGAGUUAUUAAGGAAGACCCCAAGAUCAGGAGUGCCUUUAAGGUAUCUAAGGGUGUGUAGGGCAGCAUUCAUGUGAGUAGAGGAAGGGGUUUGAAGAAACUGACUAAGAUGUUGGACAGCAAAGGCUAAAUCAGGUCUGGUAUGAGUGAGGAAAUUAAGUUUGCCAACAAGGCUCCUGUAAGUGUCAGGGGAAGAAAGAGGAGUACCCAUUUCUUGUUUGAGUUUGACAGAGAGAUCAAGAGGACAAGUCACAGGAGUAGCAUCAAGGCAAUUAUAUGAAGUGAGAAGGUCAGUAAUGAACUUCUUUUGGUGAAGGAGAAGACCAGCAGAACAAUAACAUAUAUAUAUAUAUAUAUAUGAUAGCUAUAAGAAGUAAUUAAGUAUAUGGUAGCUAGUAUUUUCAUGUUGCAAUUGCUCUCCGUUUUCUUUUCGAUUCCAAAUAAUUGAGAAAUUUUAUUAGAACAAUUUGAAAACUAAGAAUCUUGAAAUUGAAUUGAGGCGUUUAUGUUCAGUUUGCUCAAUAGAGUAAAGUUGGAGGCGAGUUUAUGGUAGAACCUCAGUUAGAAGUAAUUGGAGUUAAGUGUAAUGAAGUAAAACGAGUGGUGUUAAAAUGUACUUUUCAUUUUAAUUAUUGUAAUAUUGAGAAGUGAGGCGAACAAGAUGGUAAUCUCACACGAUUAGGGUUUCUACUUCUUCGUUUCUAGCCUUAUAAAGCGAGCGCAGUAGCUACAUUCCUCUUCAUCUCUCUACCCCUGCCUCCACACACACGUACAGUUUGUAUUUAUCGUUUCUCAAUAGGUUUUAUAUUUAGUUGAAGAGCUGUGAUGAGAUCUGGAGAUAGUCAUGCACCACUCUUACAAAAUUUAUUUUUUGAGUGAUGAUAAAUUUCUCAUACCCAUUUUGCUUCUGAGCUCUUAUACAUGCUUUUCGAUUUUACUAUAAUGUUGCUUUUUAAAUAUCCAAUGGAUGAUUUUUGAGCUUCAAAUGAACUCAUUUUGCUUGAGCUCUUAUACAUGCUUUUCGAUUUUACUAUAAUGUUGCUUUUAUUUUUCAUAGGAAAUGUUUUAAGAAUUACCAAUAAAUAAUUUUUUCUUGGAAGGAGGAGCCGCGUGAUGCGAUCGAAAGAUCGAACCAUGAUGCGGACCGUACAACAGCCUAAAGCUUCUGGGUUUGAACUUUGGUUUCUGAUGGCUCCUUAUUAUUUUUUCAAUUUCAGUUUAAUGUAUUUCGUUUGCCUCUGGUUUCUGAUAUAAUUUUCUUUGUCCGGAAAAAUGGAGUGAGGGAUUUACAUUUCAAUAUAAGAAAUUGGCAUCUUCCCAUACCCAGUGUUUUGGAGAGCGCAAAAAAGCGACAAGGGCUCGCCUCGCUUCAAAGCGUGUUAACAUCCAUGGUAGCCAUGGAUUUGAAGGAGAAAUGAAGAAGAUGAAUAGUGACAGAAGAGAGAGAAGAGAGGAUUCUGAAAUAAUAUUUUUUCUCGAAUGUUCUGUACAACCGACCCUCUUCCAUAUAUCAAAAUACAAAACUAAUGAAAAUAUCUGUGUGUGUGUGUAUACAAUGUGUGCCACAUAAAAUAAAUACAAUGGCUGUUUUUACAAUGGCUAUUGCUCAAAUGCUUAAAUGUGGCUAUUUGUACAAUGGCUGCUGCUGCUUGAGUUUGUGCUUCAGUUUGGGCUGUUGUUCACGUGAGCCCAAUAUCUCAACAUAAGAUUUAAAGAAGCCAGAUAGAACAUGGUGCAGUGUGAUGAGACCUUCCUGAAGUUUUGUCCGAAUGAAAUGGCAAUCAAGUUCAAUGUGUUUUGUUCGCUCAUGAAAAACAGGUUUGUGGGCAAUGUGGAUGGCAGCUUGGUUAUCACAAAAAACAGGGACAGCAGAGAAAACAGGGAACCCAAAAUCAGAGAAUAAACGAGUAAGCCAAGUGAGUUCACCAACAACUUUGCUCAUAGCCCUAUAUUCAGCCUCAACUGAAGACAAGGACACUACAGGCUGCUUUUUAGCUUUCCAGCUGAUCAGAGAACCCCCUAAAAAUAUGCAAAAACCAGUAACAGACCUCCUUGUGUCUGGGCAAGAGGCCCAGUCACUGUCAGAGUAGGCAGAUAGGGCUAAAUCAGGAGAGUUAUUAAGGAAGACCCCAAGAUCAGGAGUGCCUUCAAGGUAUCUAAGGGUGUGUAGGGCAGCAUUCAUGUGAGUAGAGGAAGGGGUUUGAAGAAACUGACUAAGAUGUUGGACAGCAAAGGCUAAAUCAGGUCUGGUAUGAGUGAGGAAAUUAAGUUUGCCAACAAGGCUCCUGUAAGUGUCAGGGGAAGAAAGAGGAGUACCCAUUUCUUGUUUGAGUUUGACAGAGAGAUCAAGAGGACAAGUCACAGGAGUAGCAUCAAGGCAAUUAUAUGAAGUGAGAAGGUCAGUAAUGAACUUCUUUUGGUGAAGGAGAAGACCAGCAGAACAAUAACAUACUUCAAUACCAAGAAAGUAAUUGAGGACACCUAAAUCUUUGAUUUUAAAAGCAGAAUCCAGAAAGGCCUUUAAGGCAUUAAUUUCUUGCAAGUCAUUCCUAGUUAAGAUAAUAUCAUCAACAUAUACAGCCAACAACACAAUGGAAGAACCAGAUUUCUUAUGAAAAAGAGAGUAAUCAUUGAGGGAGGAAGAAUACCCCUUAGAGCUUAAAGCCUCAGACAACUUGGCAUACCAUUGCCUAGAGGCUUGUCUUAAACCAUACAAUGAUUUCUGAAGAAGGCACACUAAAGGAGAAGAAGAAGAAGAAGGAGAAGAAGAAGUAGAAGAUACAGUCAGACCAGGAGGUAGUUUCAUAUAAACUUCCUCAUUUAAAUCACCAUGGAGGAAAGCAUUGUCGACAUCAAGUUGGAAGAGAGUCCAGGACUGUUUCACAGCAACAGCAAUCAAAGAUUUGAUAGUUGAGAAUUUAACAACUGGGGAAAAAGUAUCAGUGAAGUCCACACCCUCUACCUGAGUGUCACCCCUAACAACCAACCUGGCUUUAUAUCUUUCCACACACCCAUCAGCCUUAUAUUUCACCUUAUAAACCCAUUUGCACCCAAUUGGUUUCUUCCCAGGUGGGAGAGGAACAAUGGACCAAGUAUUAUUGGCUUGCAAAGCCUCAAAUUCCUUGGUCAUGGCAUCCUGCCAGGCAGGAUCAGAGGCAGCUUGCUGGUAGGAAGAUGGUUCAGCAGAUGCCAUGAGGACAGAGCUAUUACAACAAGAGGAUAAAGAACUAGUGCCAGAAAGGGAUGGAGGUAGAUUGCAAAUGUAUUGUUGAAGAUGGGCAGGAUGGACAUGGGGUCUGGAUGACCUUCUAAGAAGAGGUAACACAGGGUCUGGUGGAGUAGCUGAAGGAGAAACAGUAGGAGGGCAAUGGACUGAAAUAUCAACAUCAGAAGAGGGUGGAUUAAAUGUUGAGAUAGGAGGAGAGGAUGAAGAAGGAGCAUUAAAUGUUAAAGAGGAGCUGAGUAAGGAGUCAUCAGCAGUAGGUGAACACACAACAGGAGGAGGAAUAGAGGAGGAACUCCCUGAAGAAGCAAAAGGAAAAAUGGUCUCAUGAAAAGUAACAUCUCUAGAGACAAG
rnacentral:lncRNA from 1 species